CGCUCAGUGGCGCAGUGGUUAGCACUGUUACCUCGCAAUAAGGAGGUUCUGGGUUUGAGUCCUAGUUGGCCAG